AAUAUUAAAUCUUUCCCUUCAAAACCGAUGGAUGAAUAAUCUAUGCUCUGCAGUGGUAGAAGGCUCAGCAACCUGCCAGAAAUUGCAGACCCCGGGGAGAUGUUGGGAAAAGAAAACAGAAAUUUGCAGGAGCAUAUCAGUCACCAUG